AGUGAACGCUGGCGGCAUGCCUAACACAUGCAAGUCGAACGCUCUUUGGCAGUUUAUCGUCAGAAGGAGUGGCAAACGGGUGAGUAAUACGUGGACAAUCUUCCCUCGAGCGGGGGAUAACUCCGGGAAACCGGAGCUAAUACCGCGUGAGACCACGUCCUGGCAUCAGGAUGGGGUUAAAGCUUCGCAAGGGGCGCUUGAGGAGGGGUUCACGGCCUAUCAGCUAGUUGGCGGGGUUAAAGCCCACCAAGGCGACGACGGGUAACCGGUCUGAAAGGACGACCGGUCACAAUGGCACUGAGACACGGGCCAUACUCCUACGGGAGGCAGCAGUGGGGAAUUUUGCGCAAUGGGGGAAACCCUGACGCAGCGAUGCCGCGUGGAGGACGAAGGUCUUCGGAUUGUAAACUCCUUUUGUCGGUGAAAACAUUCGCGUGAAUAACGUGAACUGAUUGUAUCCGGCGAAUAAGCCACGGCUAACUUCGUGCCAGCAGCCGCGGUAAUGUGCG
rnacentral:rRNA from 1 species